rnacentral:tRNA from 1 species
AUUCAUAUAAUUCAAAUUAGAAUAAUACACUGAAGUUGUGUAAGUGACUUAUAGUCUAUGAAUA